UAGGGAAUAUUGGUAAUCUGGGAAACCGGGAACCAGCAACGCCGCGUGCACGAUGAAGGCCUUCGGGUCGUAAAGUGCUUUUUGAAGGGCUGAGGAAGGACAGUACCUUCAGAAUAAGCCUCGGCUAACUACGUGCCAGCAGCCGCGGUAAAACGUAGGAGGCGAGCGUUAUCCGGAUUUACUGGGCGUAAAGCGUGUGUAGGCGGUUUGAUAAGUUGGAUGUGAAAGCUCCCGGCUCAACUGGGAGAGGUCGUUCAAAACUAUCAGAGUAGAGAGUGGUAGAGGGAGGUGGAAUUCCGCGUGUAGUGGUGAAAUGCGUAGAUAUGCGGAGGAACACCAGUGGCGAAAGCGGCCUCCUGGCGCAUUUCUGACGCUCAGACACGAAAGCUAAUGUAGCAAACG
rnacentral:rRNA from 1 species